rnacentral:rRNA from 1 species
CUGGUUGAUCCUGCCAGUAGUCAUAUGCUUGUCUCAAAGACUAAGCCAUGCAUGUCUAAGUAUAAAUGGUAUACAGUGAAACUGCGAAUGGCUCAUUAAAACAGUUAUAGUUUAUUUGGUAAUCGAAUUUACAUGGAUAACCGUGGUAAUUCUAGAGCUAAUACAUGCUGUAAAGCCCGACUUUUCGGAAGGGCCGUAUUUAUUAGAUAACAGACCAAUAUUCCUCGUGUCUAUUGUGGUGAAUCAUAGUAACUAAUCGGAUCGCAUGGGCUAGUCCCGCGACAAACCAUUCAAGUUUCUGCCCCAUCAGCUUUCGAUGGUAGUGUAUUGGACUACCAUGGCUUUUACGGGUAACGGAGGAUUAGGGUUCGAUUCCGGAGAGGGAGCCUGAGAAACGGCUACCACAUCUAAGGAAGGCAGCAGGCGCGUAAAUUACCCAAUUCUAAUUCAGAGAGGUAGUGACAAGAAAUAACGGGUCGGGGCUAUGCCCCGGGACUGCAAUGAGAUGAAUUUACACCCCUUUUCGAGUAACAAUUGGAGGGCAAGUCUGGU